GUAGGUGGCAAGCGUUGUCCGGAAUUAUUGGGCGUAAAGCGCGCGCAGGCGGUUCUUUAAGUCUGAUGUGAAAGCCCACGGCUCAACCGUGGAGGGUCAUUGGAAACUGGAGAACUUGAGUACAGAAGAGGAAAGCGGAAUUCCACGUGUAGCGGUGAGAUGCGUAGAGAUGUGGAGGAACACCAGCGGCGAAGGCGGCUUUCUGGUCUGUAACUGACGCUGAGGCGCGAAAGCGUGGGGGAGCAAACAGGAUUAGAUACCCGUGGUAGUCCACGCCGUAAACGAUGAGUGCUAAGUGGUUACGGGGGUUUCCGCCCUUAGUGCUGCAAGCUAACGCAUUAAGCACGUCCGCCGUGGGAGUACGGCCGCAAGGCUAG
rnacentral:rRNA from 1 species